rnacentral:lncRNA from 1 species
UUCAAAUGUGAGUCCUGUUCUUGCUAUUGGAGGAUUCCCUGGAAUUUCUGUUCCAGCUGGAUAUGAUAGCAAAGGAGUACCAUUUGGCAUUUGUUUUGGGGGCCUAAAGGGCUCUGAGCCAAAGCUAAUCGAGAUUGCAUAUAGCUUCGAGCAAGCAACUAAGAUUAGGAAGCCACCUUCAUUUAAACCUUGAAGGUUUAGAACAACUCCUAUCAGAGUUGUACUACAUGUAUCAGUAUCAAGAACUCUUCUCUCUAGUUGGUAAUCCUGCACUAGAAAGGAUAUUAUAAUAAAGUGCUCAAUGUUUUGAAUGAACUAAGAUGGUACAGAGGCUGGUUUUCUCCAAAUCAUCUAAAUUAUGAAGUUUCCCUCUACCAUUUACUGUUGUGAUUGGUGCCAUUACAGUGCACUACCCUCUGAAUAACCACUCAUUUAUUUGCAAUAAAACAUGCAGAAUUCAUACAUAUAUCCUAUGAUAAAUGUAGAGAUACAUGAGCAAAAAGGAUUAGAUAAAAAUGUAAAACGGGUAUCAAUACUAAGAUAAAAGUAGCUGUAAAUUUGAUUAUCCUUAAAUUGGUUUACACAACUUCUAACAGCAGCCAGCCACUGAAAUUAUUUGUAGUUACUAAUUUUAGAUGUCCUUUUAUGGGCCAAAAAGUUUCAUUAGCCUUUUAUGGGGCAAAAAAUUAGAACGUUCGUUAAAUUAACAAUGAACUUCCACUCCUACGUCUUCCAACUUUUUCUCCUUUUUUCUAGCCUUAUGACUAGCAGUAUCCAUCACCAUCACAGGCCAUGCAUUCUCAAUCAAAGAAGCAACUCUCCAUGUUUUCCAUAAGGCUUUCAAGCAAAAUAAACUCAAUUCAAGGCAGCUGGUUGAGUUCUAUAUUAGUGAAAUUCACAAAUUGAACCCAAUCCUUCAUGGGGGUAGUAGAGGUGAACCCGGACCCACUCCUCCAAGCAGAUAAUGCUGACAGAGAGCAAAAGGCUGGGUCACCCGGCUUGUUGCUUGGGAUGCAGGUGUGAUGAGGAGGUUAAGGCUUGGGCUAUAUAGUGAGGAAUCUCUUCUUUACGUUGAGUGGGGAAGUAACCCAGCCUAACCCCAACUGAUUUUGAUUAUAAAUAAAGUCUUAACUUCCUCUAGAAGUGUAUGCAGUAGCAUCUUCUUUUCAUUUAUGUUCUUCUAGUGACAAAGGUUGAAUCCAUGACGAACAAGGACAUGAAAAAACAAAAUUAUACCUAUAGAAGGAAAAGCUAAAAAAUGUUGCAGAUCAAUUAAUCAUGAGGUGGCUAAUCACAACUUCUGAAGGCCACCAAAUGACUUCUAAUGACCAAUUUUCAGGAGCGAUAAAAAGUUCAAUCAUGACAUAGAUACAAUUCGUCUAGAUGAGUAUUUGGUUUACCUCUUUCCAAAGCUUCAAGGUCACAGAUAUAAUAUGUUUAUAUCAUAUCAUCCAAAAGCCCCACGAAACUAAGGUAUGUUUGAUGACUAUUUUUAAGAAUUAAUUUUUAUUAUUUAGAAUAACAAAAAUAAGAAAACAUGUUUGAUAAUCAGAAAACAAAAGAUAUGAUGUUUUUAGAUAAUACUUUUUAAUUAUUUUUUUAGGACGAUAUUAAAAAAAUAGUUAUACAAAUAGAAAGAAUAAUUAAAAAUAAAGCUCUGUAUAUAAAAAUUAUUUUAAAAACAUAUUUACAAGUAUAAGAAACAAGUUAAGCAUAUUUUAGGUUACGUAAUUAACUUUUGUUUUACAAAAUAUCAAAAAAGGGUUUCAAAAUAUUGUUAUCAGAAGCUAUUUUUAAGAAUUAUUUUUGUGGGAUGGUGGUGACUUAGAGAAAAAAAUCUCACUUGAUGAAUUGGAACUUGGUUUGUACCAAUAAGAAAAAGGGGGGCCUUGUAAUUCAUAGAAUUGUGGAUUUAAACAAAGCCUUACUUAGGAAGUGGACCAGAUCAAUUAAUCUUAACGGCCACAAAAUGAUUUCAAAUGACCAAUUUUUGGAUGUACUUGUGUGGGGACGAAAAAUUUGAGUCACGACAUGUGGGACAUGUGGGCUAUGCAAUUUCAAGAGGAGCUAUCAUUAAUGUGCUCCAUUAUUGAAGCUAAAUGUCUGGAUAAGAAUUUUUUUGCCACUUUCAACAGUUUUAAGGCCAUAGAUACAAUUUGUUAGUGCCAUAUCAUCCGGAAGCCCCAAGACACCAAUAUACUCAACCUUAGAUAUAUUUAUACACUCUUAUCAAGCCUACUUCCAAGUUGAAUAACUGGUGAAAUCAAGUCAAUACAAUAAUGUCCAUCCAUUUCCAUGUCUCCACACUAUUUCUCCUUCCUCUAGUCUUACUACCGUCUGGAUCCAUUGCCAUCACAGGCCAUGCAUUUUCAAUCGAAGAAGCAACUGUCCAUGACUUCCAUAUGGCUUUCGAACAAAACAAACUCACCUCAAGGCAGCUGGUUGAGUUCUACCUGGGCAAGAUUCACAAACUCAACCCAAUUCUUCGUGGGGUAAUAGAGGUGAACCCAGAUGCACUCCUCCAAGCUGAUAAGGCCGACAGGGAGAGGAAGGCUAAGUUACCUGGGUCGCUGCUGGGGCUGCACGGCAUUCCUAUAUAUUCUGCUUAAGGAUAAUAUUGCAACCAAGGACAAGAUGAACACAACAGCAGGAUCAUUUGCAUUGCUUAAAUCAGUGGUGCCAAGGGAUGCAGGCGUGGUGAGGAAGUUGAGGAAGGCUGGAGCUAUCAUACUGGGAAAGGCUAGCCUCAGCGAGUGGGCUGCUUUUCGUGCUACUGCUACUCCUUCGGGCUGGUGUGCUAGAACUGGCCAAGGUAAGGUAAGUUGUGAUCCAAAACUCAAAUUUUCCGACGGUAGUUAGCUUACAUUUUGGUUCUCAUCCUCCCCGGUAAAGAUAUGAACAGAUAUAGGCAGAUGGAAAUUAUACCCAAUAAUUUUUUAAUCAAAUUCUUAGAAGGGGAAAAGCUUUUCUGUUUAAGGAGAAUUUGUGUACUCGUUGGAAAUUUCUGCUGUUUUGCAUUUAUCCUGAGAAGUUUGUGUUUGUUUGUCAGGAAAAGCAGAGUUACUCUAUGAUUUCUAUAGCAUAUUAAAUGUAGAAAGUGGAAUUUACUAAUUUCCAAUUUCUCAUUCCAGUCAGUGUAAGUCUCCUCGUGAACUUGAACAUACACGCCAAAAAAGAUCAAAAAAAAAAAAAUUAGAAUCUGAAUACAUGAAUCUGCACUAUGAUGCUGCACGCCAAAAAAGAUAACGAGUUUAGACACGUUUGCCAAAGGAGUGAAAAGUGUGUGGAGCAUCUGGCCGGAGUCGCCAUUAAAAGGAAAAAAGCUUCUUUCCAUUUAGCAUUCACACUAUGGUUGUCAAAUGGGUUUCAGUCUGUCAUUAUGUCCUACAACAAUCAUUCACCAUCAGUGGGUGUACCAAAAGAUUCUUCCUAUCAAUCAUAUCUUUUUUAUCUGCCCACUCAAAUGUGUGGAAAUUUUAUUUUUUUAAGGGUCUAUUGAUUCUGCCCAACAUUCUGUUUCGAGUUGUCAUAUUUCUCUAGCAUUCUUGUGUUUCUAAUACUAAGUAUAUGGGAUAAGAGAUUGAACAAAAACAAGAAGCCUCAAACUACCGUUGAUUGCAAAAGGGAAGAAGAUUAAGGAUGAAAAUAGGACUACAAUGUGUUGCAUAAACAGUUUUAUGAAUCUUAAGCCUACGAUUUCAUUGGUGUGCAGAACCCUUAUGUUCUAUCAGCAACUCCCUGUGGCUCAAGUAGUGGAUCAGCUAUAUCAGUAGCAGCAAAUUUAGCGGCAGUGUCUCUAGGGACGGAGACUGAUGGAUCCAUCUUAUGUCCAUCCCACAUUAAUUCAGUAGUGGGCAUCAAACCAACACUUGGUCUCACCAGCCGAGCUGGCGUGGUUCCAAUCUCUCCUAGGCAGGACACUGUUGGGUAGGUGAUGCUUCAUCUUCCUAAAUCCAAAUAUGAAACUAUCAUCUGUUGAACAACCAAAGAUAGCAGACUGCUCAAACAUAUUUGAUGCAACAGGCCCAUCUGCAGGACAGUCUCCGAUGCUGUCGAGGUACUGGAUGUCAUUGUUGGUUUUGACUACAGGGAUGAAGCAACCAGGACAGCAUCCAAGUACAUACCACAAGGUGGCUAUAAGCAAUUUCUCAAUGCAAAUGGGCUCAAGGGGAAGAGAUUGGGGAUAGUGAGGAAUCCCUUCUAUAUGUUUGGGAAUGGCUCUGUCCUCCCUCAAGUUUUUGAGCAUCAUUUCCACACACUCAGGUAACAAAACCUGCUUUCUAAGUACAGUGCUUAAUACCCUAAUGACUCUAGCUUAAGGUGCUUGACUAAAUUAACAUAUUCUUAUUACAUCAUUCCACAAAGGCAAGGAGGUGCUAUUUUGGUAGAUCACCUGGAAAUAGCCAACAUUGAUGUUAUCUAUGGCUCCUCCGGAGAAUAUGCAGCAUUAGAGGCUGAGUUCAAAACAUCCUUGAAUGCUUACCUGAAAGAGCUGGUAGCAUCCCCAGUAAGAACUUUGGCUGAUGUGAUAGCCUUCAACAACAAAUUCUCACAUUUGGUUAGUACAUUCAGGAGAGGUUUUCAUUAUUUACUUGUUGUUCUAGAUUCCGCUAGGAUUGUUAAAACCACAUUCUGAAAAGAUGACUAAUUUAAUUACUUGGGUAACUGCAGGAAAAGAUAAAGGAGUAUGGACAAGAUAUCUUUCUGCAAGCCGAAGCCACAAAUGGGAUAAACAAGAAAACUUUGUUAAAAUUAGCGAGAUUGUCACGAAAUGGGUUUGAGAAGUUGAUGAAGGAGCAUAAGCUGGAUGCAUUGGUGACACCUGGUUCAGAUGUUAGAACUAUUCUUGCUAUUGGAGGAUUCCCUGGAAUUUCUGUUCCAGCUGGAUAUGACAGCGAAGGAGUACCAUUUGGCAUUUGUUUUGGGGGCCUAAAGGGCUCUGAGCCAAAGCUGAUCGAGAUUGCAUAUAGCUUCGAGCAAGCAACUAAGAUUAGGAAGCCACCUUCAUUUAAACCUUGAAGGUUUAGAACAACUCCUAUCAGAGCUGUACUACAUAUAUCAGUAUCAAGAACUCUUCACUCUAGAUAGUAAUCCUGCACUAGAAAGGAUGUUAUAAUAAACUGCUCAAUGUUUUGAAUAAACUAA